CUAAUCUUAUCGGUGGAUCACUCGGCUCGUGGGUCGAUAAAGAACGCAGCUAACUGCGAUACAUCGUGCGAGCUGCAGAAACAUUGAGCACAAAAGCUUCGAAUGCACAUUGCGCCAUUGGAUUCACAUCCUCUGGCACGCCUGGUUCAGGUUCAGGUUCAUA
rnacentral:rRNA from 1 species